rnacentral:misc_RNA from 1 species
GUACUCUCACACUCUCAAUUACUUUGGAUUGGGAGCGGUGGACUUGGGUGUUGCCGCUUGACUGUGGCUCACCUGAAAUAUGUUAGUGCACCUCUUGAUUGGACAUAGUACGGCGUGAUAAGAGUCUUCGCCGGCUCCUCGCAAAGAGGGUGGCCGAUCGGGAGCUCUGUUGCUUCAAACUGUCUUCGGACAAUCUUCUGGCG